GCGGUCCGACCAAAAGGAAUGGUACAAAAAAAAUCUAUCUAAACAAGGUAUUGAUGUCCGAUCAAAUGAAGAUAGUACAAAGAAUUUCGUCCAAACGAGAUCAUGAUGUCCGCCCAAAUGAGGACAAAAUGAUGACAACCUAUCGAAACAAGGUCAUGAAGUCCGGCCAACGAGGAUAAAAAAGUUUGUCCAAACGAGGUC
rnacentral:lncRNA from 1 species